rnacentral:rRNA from 1 species
AUACGGAGGAUGCAAGCGUUAUCCGGAUUUAUUGGGUUUAAAGGGUGCGUAGGCGGUUUGCUAAGCGGGAGGUGAAAUGCCGGCGCUCAACGUCGGAAGUGCCUCCCGCACUGGUGGACUGGAAUGACUCUGCCGUGGGAGGAAUGUGUAGUGUAGCGGUGAAAUGCUUAGAGAUUACACAGAACACCGAUUGCGAAGGCAUCUCACGAAGGGUUGAUUGACGCUGAGGCACGAAAGCGUGGGGAUCAAACAGGAUUAGAUACCCUGGUAGUCCACGCCGUAAACGAUGGAUACUAGGUGUAGGGGGCAUCGACUCCCUCUGUGCCGCAGUUAACACAAUAAGUAUUCCGCCUGGGGAGUACGGCCGCAAGGUUGAAACUCAAAGGAAUUGACGGGG